GAGCGGUAGAAAGUAGCUUGCUACUUUUGAGAGCGGCGGACGGGUGAGUAAUGCCUAGGAAUCUGCCUAGUGGUGGGGGAUAACGUUCGGAAACGGACGCUAAUACCGCAUACGUCCUACGGGAGAAAGCGGGGGACCUUCGGGCCUCGCGCCAUUAGAUGAGCCUAGGUCGGAUUAGCUAGUUGGUGAGGUAAUGGCUCACCAAGGCGACGAUCCGUAACUGGUCUGAGAGGAUGAUCAGUCACACUGGAACUGAGACACGGUCCAGACUCCUACGGGAGGCAGCAGUGGGGAAUAUUGGACAAUGGGCGAAAGCCUGAUCCAGCCAUGCCGCGUGUGUGAAGAAGGUCUUCGGAUUGUAAAGCACUUUAAGUUGGGAGGAAGGGUUGUAACUUAAUACGUUGCAAUUUUGACGUUACCGACAGAAUAAGCACCGGCUAACUCUGUGCCAGCAGCCGCGGUAAUACAGAGGGUGCAAGCGUUAAUCGGAAUUACUGGGCGUAAAGCGCGCGUAGGUGGUUUGUUAAGUUGAAUGUGAAAGCCCCGGGCUCAACCUGGGAACUGCAUCCAAAACUGGCAAGCUAGAGUACGGUAGAGGGUGGUGGAAUUUCCUGUGUAGCGGUGAAAUGCGUAGAUAUAGGAAGGAACACCAGUGGCGAAGGCGACCACCUGGACUGAUACUGACACUGAGGUGCGAAAGCGUGGGGAGCAAACAGGAUUAGAUACCCUGGUAGUCCACGCCGUAAACGAUGUCAACUAGCCGUUGGAUUCCUUGAGGAUUUAGUGGCGCAGCUAACGCAUUAAGUUGACCGCCUGGGGAGUACGGCCGC
rnacentral:rRNA from 1 species